AGACAGGCCUUUGUGACUGAUAAUUACUAGUAUUCCUUAUCAUCAACCCGCGAUAAUAUUUAGACCUUGAUGGCCUCUCUUGCACACACACACACACACACACAUACCCUGUCACUUUAUAAUACACACAAUGCUAAACGGGUCCAGAUAGCGACUGGCUGGGGUUAUUAUAUAGGAAUAGGGGGAAUAGAGUGACUGGGGUUAUUAUAUAGAAAGAGGGGGAAUAGAGCGACUGGAAAGACUGAUAAAGAGGAAGAAGAGUCUUUUGAGAGGCCCAUGAAUAGAACGUUUAUCACGAGGGCCGAUCUCUCUCACUCUCUCUCUUCAUUGCAUAUUCACGCCGCAUGACCACUUCUUGCCUGGUUGCCUCCCCCAGUCAUCUUGGAUCUGAGGUCUUACUGGCUGCUAUAGCUUUUUUGGCAUGUAAAUAUCUCAAAUAAAUCUUCCUUGUUGACGGUCUUUGCACAGAGUUGAACCAGGGUUUAAAACAGCUUGUUCUAUGUUUGACGUGAUCCUGCUGUAAACCAGUUCGCAUGUCUCUGACCAUAUCUAUUCAGUUCCUCCGUUCUGUCACAUCACAGCAUUAGAUAAGGUCCCAGCCUUCAGAAAUGUGUCUGUUAGGUUGGACAGAGUAAAUGUUGUUCAUCUGUAAUGACUGGUGUCAUGGUAGUAUAGAGUGUGUUGUCUGUUAGGUUGGACAGAGUAAAUGUUGUUCAUCUGUAAUGACUGGUGUCAUGGUAGUAUAGAGUGUGUUGUCUGUUAGGUUGGACAGAGUAAAUGUUGUUCAUCUGUAAUGACUGGUGUCAUGGUAGUAUAGAGUGUGUUGUCUGUUAGGUUGGACAGAGUAAAUGUUGUUCAUCUGUAAUGACUGGUGUCAUGGUAGUAUAGAGUGUGUUGUCUGUUAGGUUGGACAGAGUAAAUGUUGUUCAUCUGUAAUGACUGGUGUCAUGGUAGUAUAGAGUGUGUUGUCUGUUAGGUUGGACAGAGUAAAUGUUGUUCAUCUGUAAUGACUGGUGUCAUGGUAGUAUAGAGUGUGUUGUCUGUUAGGUUGGACAGAGUAAAUGUUGUUCAUCUGUAAUGACUGGUGUCAUGGUGGUAUAGAGUGUGUUGUCUGUUAGGUUGGACAGAGUAAAUGUUGUUCAUCUGUAAUACUGGUGUCAUGGUAGUAUAGAGUGUGUUGUCUGUUAGGUUGGACAGAGUAAAUGUUGUUCAUCUGUAAUGACUGGUGUCAUGGUAGUAUAGAGUGUGUUGUCUGUUAGGUUGGACAGAGUAAAUGUUGUUCAUCUGUAAUGACUGGUGUCAUGGUAGUAUAGAGUGUGUUGUCUGUUAGGUUGGACAGAGUAAAUGUUGUUCAUCUGUAAUACUGGUGUCAUGGUAGUAUAGAGUGUGUUGUCUGUUAGGUUGGACAGAGUAAAUGUUGUUCAUCUGUAAUGACUGGUGUCAUGGUAGUAUAGAGUGUGUUGUCUGUUAGGUUGGACAGAGUAAAUGUUGUUCAUCUGUAAUGACUGGUGUCAUGGUAGUAUAGAGUGUGUUGUCUGUUAGGUUGGACAGAGUAAAUGUUGUUCAUCUGUAAUGACUGGUGUCAUGGUAGUAUAGAGUGUGUUGUCUGUUAGGUUGGACAGAGUAAAUGUUGUUCAUCUGUAAUGACUGGUGUCAUGGUAGUAUAGAGUGUGUUGUCUGUUAGGUUGGACAGAGUAAAUGUUGUUCAUCUGUAAUGACUGGUGUCAUGGUAGUAUAGAGUGUGUUGUCUGUUAGGUUGGACAGAGUAAAUGUUGUUCAUCUGUAAUGACUGGUGUCAUGGUAGUAUAGAGUGUGUUGUCUGUUAGGUUGGACAGAGUAAAUGUUGUUCAUCUGUAAUGACUGGUGUCAUGGUAGUAUAGAGUGUGUUGUCUGUUAGGUUGGACAGAGUAAAUGUUGUUCAUCUGUAAUGACUGGUGUCAUGGUAGUAUAGAGUGUGUUGUCUGUUAGGUUGGACAGAGUAAAUGUUGUUCAUCUGUAAUGACUGGUGUCAUGGUGGUAUAGAGUGUGUUGUCUGUUAGGUUGGACAGAGUAAAUGUUGUUCAUCUGUAAUGACUGGUGUCAUGGUAGUAUAGAGUGUGUUGUCUGUUAGGUUGGACAGAGUAAAUGUUGUUCAUCUGUAAUGACUGGUGUCAUGGUAGUAUAGUGUGUAGUCUGUUAGGUUGGACAGAGUAAAUGUUGUUCAUCUGUAAUGACUGGUGUCAUGGUAGUAUAGAGUGUAGUCUAGUGUGUAGAAUGAAUUGAUCCGCUUGCUGUUGGACAGCUAUAGGGACGCACCGACAUGGAUGAAUCUAAUCUAGAACACAAAUCAAUCUACCCCCCCUCCCCCCGUCCCU